CGACGGGCAGCGGGGCCCGGGCCGCGCCCGGGUGGCUGCGGGAGCAGAGGGUGCUGAGCCCGCUCCCAGGAACCCACGGGAAAAGCCUCCGCGUGGGUAGGGAGGGAUGCCAGCCCGGGCCGAGGGACGUGGCCAGCACUGCCUCCACCCCUCUGAGCAGCAUCAGCACCGCGGGGCACGCUUAGGCCAGGACCAGCUCUACAUAGGAAGACAGCCGUGCACUAGUUCAUGUCAAAAAGCUGUAUUUACAGAAAUGCAGGGAGAAAAACCAGCUCUUUUCAUUUCCAUCCUGGAUUUCGAAGAAACCAGGGAACACUGGAGCUGGAUGCCGGAGCUGUGUUCUCCCUUACACCUGGAGCAGCCACUCUAUUCCAAAGAGGGAACAUUUUGUGUAAGAAGUCGCCCCCAGCCAUGCACAGAACAUGCUCCUGCCCAGACUUGCUCUCUGUGUGCUCUGUGACAUAAUUUUUGCUUAACAAGACUUAGCAGUUGGGCAGCUGCCAGCCCCAUCCAAAAGCUCACUCUGCAGCUACACAGCCUUGGCUUCAUGGCUAAACCACCAGCAGAAAGACCCUCUGGGAAACUGAAGCACCUUUAUUCUGCCAGGGUUAAAAGCAAACAUACUGGGAUCGAAGAAUGUAUCCCCAGGUGAGGCCAGAACUGUACAUGAUUUCACAACAGAGUUAAAACAGUCACAGAGGCAAGUCUAUUGAAGUGGUCUCAGGCCAAGUCUAAGGCCUCCCACCUUCAGCACAUGGAAGUAAAGGAGGAGGGAAUUAACAUGUGAAGGGCACGUGGAAGGCAGAAACAGUCAUAGUCCCAGUCACACAUGCAGAGCAGCUACUCAGUGCUUAGCUUAGCAGUAUUAGAAUGGCAAAGAUAAAUCCUUUCAAAGAUGGCAAACAAAUGCAAAUGCAUUUGGAUUUCUGACUGACCUCUGCCACUCCUCAUACCUUUCCAUCAAAUUAGCAUGGCAUUCACAUCUGCCUGCAGACACGUACACCCACUGCUGGGAGGCCACACAACAAACACUGGCUCUUACAGACUCCCAGAUCAUCAAGCCAGCAAGGCCUGAGCACCACCUCAUCCUGCUCAAGAAAAUACCACACCACAUGCUUAAUUCACAUCAGGCUCAAUGGGAUUCACAGCAGUGAUUACUUUGCUGCACAGGGAAAGGAUUACUCAUAUUUAAGCACAUGCAGAUUGCAAGUCAUCUUGACUUGACCUCUAAGAAGCUGCUAACACCACUUGUCAGCAGAAAGCCUAAAGGAGAAGCAUUGAAGGAUGAUAAGCAACCCUUGAAAUACCAGGGGUGUUUUACAUCCCAUGACUUAUGUGAAAGUAAAUACUCGACCAGGCUUGCACAGUCAGGAGCAUCUCCUGAGAAAUGGGUGGUCAAAGCAUAAGAGAACAACUGCUGUUACAGAGAGGACAUCAAAUCUGGUAUCUUACUGCUCUCAGUUCAGGAAUUUUCAUGGAAACAACCCUCUGAUAAGCUGAACCUAUUUCACUUGCUGGUGGCUGAUGCUUGUUUCUGCUGGCACACAAAGACACAAGAAUUGUGAAAUACAUAGUCAGGUGCUCCUGCAGCCAAUGUGCCUCAUGGUGUCUCUCCAGGCCUAAUCAUCAGAAUUAGAACUACUGAAAAUGAAAGCAACUUUCACCACUUUUUUUUUUUUUUUAAACACAAACCCCAGUUGCAGACAGAGCAUUCUGGAUCCUAGGAAGCCCAUAAACAGUGACCACGCUUGAUCUGUUCCAACUUAUUCCUCCCUUGCCCCUCCACGGGGGAAAUUACUGUUAUUACUUUUAUUUAAUUAGCACCAGGCAGCACACCAUGGUUUCAUAGGCCAUGAGUGGUCAGUGUGGGGUAGAUAACUUCCUGUUCCGUGUCCUCAGACCAGAGAAUCUCUUCAUUUCACCAGAUAAACAGCUGUAUUACCACAAUUGUUACAACUCAACUACUACAAACCUUGCCAUGCAUUAUUAAUCCCCAUCACUUGGGGGCUUAGGGUAAAAUAAGAAAACUCAUUUCCUCUCAGGUUCUCUGUCAAGACCAAACUCCUUUAUGCAAACAGAUCCUGCACAUAACUGGCUCCAAGGAGAAGUGAUCAUACUGCAGACUUGAGUCAAUGUUUCCCCAGCUUUCAAGUGCGUGCAGCAGGAGCUGCUGUGACUGUAAGAAAGAUGAUGCUGUUCCUAACAACUACCACGAUUCCCACUUGAGCACACAUACAAGAAGAGCUCCUGUUGCUGUUCAAGAUUAUUCACUGAGAUUACCAGGGCUGAGCCUCUCAAGAGCCUCACAGAAGUCCCUGUUACGUUCACAUUUGCGUGGGCCUGACUCAUCUCAGAAGAGUGAAACACAUGUACAGCAUUUACAGGUUAUCACUCUGCUACCACAGCACGGCUGUGAAUCCCUCACAGCAGGAUAUAUUACUCAACAAAGCCACUCCACUUGACAAACCCUGUCAGCAGUUUAUCCUACAUGAGGCCAUGUCCCUACCUCCUAACUGGGAAAAAAAAAAGUACCUUCUGAAAGGAGAGCAGUUCAGAGAUUUAUUAACCAUCUCCUCCCACCCAAACCCACUCCAAGUUUCCCAGCUGGAUAAGCAGUACUUGGGGAAUUUGUGUUCUGCAUAAUAUUGGAGACCUCACUGCUGUGGAAAACAACAUACCAGAAGACUUUGUGAUUCCUUCCUUUCAUAACCACUGGGGGGAAAAGGAGAAAUAGAGAUUUUUAGACAAAUUUUAAAGUCUUGAUUAAAACCACAGCAGACAAAAAAAAAAAAAAAAGUCUCCUUGAGUCAUUGAACCAUGCAAGAAAACACAUGACAAACUCAGAACAUGACUCAGGAUUUUUAACUUCUGACAUGUAAAAACAAGAUAGGACUUCACUGACUAUAUUUCAAAUUCAUCUUAAGCUUAAAAGCUGGCAGUUUUAUAGUCUGUUUUAGCUAGGAAGAAAACAGAUGGACUUUGCUUCCUUCCUGAAAGAUUUGCAAAGGCUCCAGACUGAAAGAUGUGGACUGAAACACAUACCUAUGCAAACAAUUUUGCAGCGUUUUGUUAGUAAAAACAUGAGUCAGGAUCUGUCAUUACCUUUGGAAAGGUGCCCACAGAAAACGCAUAGUGCUGAAAAAUGAGAAAGCCAGAGUAGUGACAAACCCUCUGGAGGCUGGAAGCCUCCUGGAGCAAGAGAUGGAGCAGAAUAAAGACUCCAGAUCCAUUAAGCUGGACUGGUGCACCUGCAGGUUGCUAUAGCGAGUGCUCAUUCACUGGCAAACCACAACCUAAUUACACACCAGCGUCACAAAGCACUCUGGUGUUGUUAAGCAUUUUCCAGCCUUAUGUCCUUAUGUGGAAACAAAUGAGAUUGAAGCAGUCUUGGGGUACUCUGUAAAGCAAAAAAGGAAAUACAGUCAGUGCAGAGCCAAACCAUUUACAGCAGAACAAGAAGGACCCAGGAAGACUGAAAGAAGUAUUGCACAUAAAAAUACACUGUCACAAGAUAAUACACACACUUAUUAUGAGAACCUGGUACAUGCACUGCUACUCAUUCCAAGAUUUACAGUUCUGGCCUCAGGUUUUUUUCAGUACAGACUGAAUGCACUGUCAUGCUGGUUCAGCCACACCAGGAGUUUCUCAGAGGCCAAGUUCUAGCCUGCAAUUAAGAUGUCACACAUCCAAGCAUAAACAUUAACUUACACAGCAGUUGACUGUCAGCUUUGCCCAAGUUCUAAAGUUACUCACACUCAUCUGAGAAGGCAUCAGACAAUGAAGGGCUUGUUUGUCAGUUUUAGAGUUCAAAAAACAGAGGGAAUCUCUUAUCCUUAUGAGUAACUGUUGCUGGAUUUGCUAGGGGGAGAAAAAAAAAAAAAGUCAUUCCUUGUUUCAUGCAGCCUUAUGAAGGACCCGUGUCUUGCUGUAAAGUGGCAGUGCUUAGCACUGCAGCUGCUAAAAAAAAAAGAAUCUAUUGAAUCAGAA